AGGUUAUCAAUUAGAAAGCAUAAGGAAUGGAGCUACUAUGCAAUCCUACAAUGCAACAUGAAGAGAUGAGAUUAAAUGCAAUCUAAGACAUAGAAAGGAGUUCGAAAGUUUCGGAUGACACCCCCCACCUUUUUAUCGAUGUAGAGGCUUUGGAAAUUCUUCUCGGCGAGCUUCGCAAAAAGGCUUUAGCCUUCCUCGCCCGAAUCAACACUAGCCCGGCCCGAUUUUGCCGAGAACUUCACGUCGGUUCGCCGAAUGCCAAAAUCGACUUCGCCCCCGCGUUUUGGGACCUAUCAAUAGGGUUUCCAAGGCUUCAAAUGAGAUCAAUCUCAUACAUUUACAAAAACCUCAUUUUGGAACCCUAGAUUUGCACCUAUAGCAAAUCACCCCAUAAAUCCCUAGAUUCUUGGGAUUGAUCUAUUUAGAAGCUUGCUUAGGGUCCAUUUGACCCAUUCCAAGGCAUAAAACCCAAAAACCCUAAGUUCUAGAAGCUAGGGUUUAGUAGCUUACCUCAAGAGCUACUCCAAUGGGAAGAGGAGAGGGAGUUGGAGGUGCUCAAAGCCUUCCUCUUGAUCUCCUUCUUCUUCUCCUUCCUUAUCUUCCUCUUCUUUUCCUUCCUCUCCUUCUUGUUCUUCUUCUCCUUCUUUCCUUUCUAGAGAGAGAGAGAGCAAGAGAGAAAUGAGAGUGAGAGAGAGGAAAUGAGAGAGUGUGAGGGAGAGAGAGGGCUCAGCCCACUCAAAUAAAUGCCAUUUUGCACAAAAGCCCCUCAACUUUCACCCCUGUGCACUGCCCUUACUGGGCAGUUUUCGCGCGGAGGGACCGGUCUCCCCGACUUGGGACCGGUCCCCGAGAGCUUCCCUCAGGCGCACGUGUUCGGGAACCGGUCUCUCCCCAGGAGACCGGUCCUCGGGAGACCGGUCCUCACCUGAGAGACCGGUCCCCGAGAGCUUGAUUUUCAGGACUUAGCCAAUUUUUGGCAUCUCCCGCUGGGGCCACGUUCGGGAACCGGUCCCUCACCACCAGGGACCGGUUGCAUCACGCAACCCCGCAACACCCAGCCGAGGGAACCGGUCUCUCACCUGCAGAGACCGGUCCCCGAGAGCAACUUCUGCCCAAUGAUGCCAUUUGCCUCAUUUGCUCUCGCGGACUCAACUCCAAGGCACUCUUUGUGCUUUGGACAUUCUCAACUCCCACAAAGGGUUUACUUUCGACAAUCAGUCGAUCCUGG
rnacentral:lncRNA from 1 species